rnacentral:rRNA from 1 species
GGGUGAGUAAUGCAUAGGAAUCUGCCCGAUAGUGGGGGAUAACCUGGGGAAACCCAGGCUAAUACCGCAUACGUCCUACGGGAGAAAGCAGGGGCUCUUCGGACCUUGCGCUAUCGGAUGAGCCUAUGUCGGAUUAGCUAGUUGGUGAGGUAAUGGCUCACCAAGGCGACGAUCCGUAGCUGGUCUGAGAGGAUGAUCAGCCACAUCGGGACUGAGACACGGCCCGAACUCCUACGGGAGGCAGCAGUGGGGAAUAUUGGACAAUGGGCGCAAGCCUGAUCCAGCCAUGCCGCGUGUGUGAAGAAGGCUUUCGGGUUGUAAAGCACUUUCAGUGAGGAAGAAAGCCUGGGGGCUAAUACCCCCGAGGAACGACAUCACUCACAGAAGAAGCACCGGCUAACUCCGUGCCAGCAGCCGCGGUAAUACGGAGGGUGCGAGCGUUAAUCGGAAUUACUGGGCGUAAAGCGCGCGUAGGCGGCGUGAUAAGCCGGUUGUGAAAGCCCCGGGCUCAACCUGGGAACGGCAUCCGGAACUGUCAGGCUAGAGUGCAGGAGAGGAAGGUAGAAUUCCCGGUGUAGCGGUGAAAUGCGUAGAGAUCGGGAGGAAUACCAGUGGCGAAGGCGGCCUUCUGGACUGACACUGACGCUGAGGUGCGAAAGCGUGGGUAGCAAACAGGAUUAGAUACCCUGGUAGUCCACGCCGUAAACGAUGUCGACUAG